ACGCCCACACACAGGCCACCGCCCCCACCGGCCGGACGGCGCGGGGAUUCCCAGUCCUGGCUCCGCCCCGGCCUCGGCCCCGCCCCCGCCCCUGCCCCGGGGCAGCCUGUGCUGUUCCGUGUGCGCGGCGCAUACGCACCUGGGUUGUCUCGAGCCUGCGGUAGUGGCCAGAUCCCAGACAUCCGAGUAGAUCCCGUGAAAAGCUUCUUCUUGGUUUCUUCGUACAUUCUGGAUCCACCCCUUUCAUGCAUAUUCCAGACCACAUUUCCACUGGAGCAGUUGAAAUGAGAGAGAUGGGAAUGGGACUCACCCGAACCAGAGGAAUUUUUAUUACAGACCCAUUAACAGAGGUGUCAAAGUCACAGGAACAAGGAUGUGCACCUCAGAAACACAGAGGUCAGUGGAAAAUCAGUUUGCUUCUAUUUGUUUAAAAAAUGGGGGACUUAUGCAUAAAUCUAAGACCUUCUUGAAUCUAACAUUCUAAGACCUGUAUGCCACAGAAAGGAGGGUCUCAGAACGCCGGAGGAUAGUAUUUAAAUCUUAAAUAUCUAUAUUGUUC
rnacentral:lncRNA from 1 species